AUUGAACGCUGGCGGCAGGCCUAACACAUGCAAGUCGAGCGAGUGGCGGACGGGUGAGUAAUGUCUGGGGAACUGCCUGAUGGAGGGGGAUAACUACUGGAAACGGUAGCUAAUACCGCAUACUAUCGGAUGUGCCCAGAUGGGAUUAGCUGGUUGGUGGGGUAACGGCUCACCAAGGCGACGAUCCCUAGCUGGUCUGAGAGGAUGACCAGCCACACUGGAACUGAGACACGGUCCAGACUCCUACGGGAGGCAGCAGUGGGGAAUAUUGCACAAGGGGCGCAAGCCUGAUGCAGCCAUGCCGCGUGUAUGAAGAAGGCCUUAGGGUUGUAAAGUACUUUCAGCGGGGAGGCGUUACCCGCAGAAGAAGCACCGGCUAACUCCGUGCCAGCAGCCGCGGUAAUAC
rnacentral:rRNA from 1 species